rnacentral:rRNA from 1 species
UACGUAGGGGGCAAGCGUUAUCCGGAAUCAUUGGGCGUAAAGGGUGCGUAGGCUGCCCUAUAGGUCAGAGGUCAAAGGCUACGGCUCAACCGUAGUAAGCCUUUGAAACUGUAGGGCUUGAGUGCAGGAGAGGAGAGUGGAAUUCCUAGUGUAGCGGUGAAAUGCGUAGAUAUUAGGAGGAACACCAGUGGCGAAGGCGACUCUCUGGACUGCAACUGACGCUGAGGCACGAAAGCGUGGGUAGCGAACAGGAUUAGAUACCCUGGUAGUCCACGCCGUAAACGAUGAGUGCUAGGUGUUGGGGGUCGAACCUCGGUGCCGAAGUUAACGCAUUAAGCACUCCGCCUGGGGAGUACGUACGCAAGUAUGAA